rnacentral:rRNA from 1 species
CCCUUAGAUGUCCUGGGCCGCACGCGCGCUACACUGAUGCAUUCAACGAGUUUUACCUUGGCCGAGAGGCCUGGGCAAUCUUUUAAACCUGCAUCGUGAUAGGGAUAGAUUAUUGCAAUUAUUAAUCUUGAACGAGGAAUUCCUAGUAAACGCAAAUCAUCAAUUUGCAUUGAUUACGUCCCUGCCCUUUGUACACACCGCCCGUCGCACCUACCGAUUGGAUGGUCCGGUGAAGCCUCGGGAUUGUGGUUCUUGCCGCUUUAUUGUGGCGUGACCGCGAGAACUUGUCUAAACCUUAUCAUCUAGAGGAAGGUGAAGUCGUAACA